rnacentral:rRNA from 1 species
AGAGUUUGAUUAUGGCUCAGAACUAACGCUGGCGGCGCGUCUGAAACACGCAAGUCGAACGGUAGUCUCUGAGCUUGCUUAGAGAUGAGAGUGGCGAACGGGUGAGUAACACGUGUAUAAUCUGCCUCCGGGUUGGGGAUAACUAUCCGAAAGGGUAGCUAAUACCGAAUGAGAUGGUGGUUGUGUUGACAGCAGCCAUUAAAGGUGGGGACCGCAAGGCCUACUGCCUGGAGAUGAGUCCGCGGCUGAUUAGCUUGUUGGUGGGGUAACGGCCUACCAAGGCGACGAUCAGUAGCCGGCCUGAGAGGGUGAACGGCCACAUUGGGACUGAGAUACGGCCCAGACUCCUACGGGAGGCAGCAGUUAAGAAUCUUGCACAAUGGGCGCAAGCCUGAUGCAGCGACGCCGCGUGAAUGAUGAAGGCUCUCGGGUUGUAAAGUUCAAUAAGCAGGGAAGAAUAAGCGCCGGGAAAUAUUCGGUGUGAUGACGGUACCUGCCUAAAGCCCCGGCUAACUACGUGCCAGCAGCCGCGGUAAUACGUAUGGGGCGAGCGUUGUUCGGAAUUAUUGGGCGUAAAGGGUUGCUACGCGGGGAAUUAAGUUAGGUGUGAAAGCUAUGGGCUCAACCCAUAAACUGCAUCUAAAACUGGAUUUCUUGAGUUAGGGAGAGGAGAGCGGAAUUCCUGGUGUAGCGGUGAAAUGCGUAGAUAUCAGGAAGAACACCAGUGGCGAAGGCGGCUCUCUGGCCUAUGACUGACGCUAAAGCACGAAAGCGUGGGGAGCGAACGGGAUUAGAUACCCCGGUAGUCCACGCCGUAAACGUUGUAUACUAGGUGUUAGUGGCUUGUCCACUAGUGCCGAAGCUAACGCAUUAAGUACUCCGCCUGGGGAUUACGGCCGCAAGGUUAAAACUCAAAGGAAUUGACGGGGGCCCGCACAAGCGGUGGAGCAUGUGGUUUAAUUCGAUUAUACGCGAGAAACCUUACCUGGUCUUGACAUGUUAGGAACCUUUAAGAGAUUAGAGGGUGCCUGCUUGCAGGAGCCUAAACACAGGUGGUGCAUGGUUGUCGUCAGCUCGUGUCGUGAGAUGUUGGGUUAAGUCCCGCAACGAGCGCAACCCUUGUUGCUAGUUACCAGCGCGUAAUGGCGGGGACUCUAGCGAGACUGCCGGUGACAAACCGGAGGAAGGUGGGGAUGACGUCAAAUCAUCACGCCCCUUACGACCAGGGCCACACACGUGACUACAAUGCCCGGUACAGCGAGUUGCGAAGCGCGAAGCAGAGCUAAUCUCUUAAAACCGGGCCAAGUUCAGAUCGGAGGCUGCAAUUCGCCUCCGUGAAGCUGGAAUCGCUAGUAAACGCAGAUCAGCAUGCUGCGUUGAAUACGUUCUCGGGCCUUGUACACACCGCCCGUCACACCAUGGGAGCCAGUAACACCCGAAGCCGGUGACGUAACGCAAGAGGCAGCUGUCGAAGGUGGGAUU